UUUCGAGAGAGGAUAGGUUGUGUAUACUCUCUCAAUACCUUAUAUUGUAUUUAUUAUUAGUAUAGAUUGCAAAUAUAUACAUUGAAUAUAUUAUAUUGUUUACUUUUUUUGGCAAACAUAUUCCGACAUUGGUAGAGCUGCACGAGCAUCUCAGGCAGUUCCUUAUACAUCAGGCUCUAAGAGUUAUGCAAGGCGUGGAGAUGAAUUCAUAAGUUUUUUUGAAACUCUUUGAAACUCUUCUAUCAUAUAUUAAUUCCUAUAGCUUGCCAAUGUACAUUUUAU
rnacentral:lncRNA from 1 species